rnacentral:rRNA from 1 species
AUUGAACGCUGGCGGCAGGCUUAACACAUGCAAGUCGAGCGAGCCGCGGCCGUUUGAGUACUGUCUGGGAAACUGCCUGAUGGAGGGGGAUACCUACUGGAAACGGUAGCUAAUACCGCAUACCCUCAGCUGUUCCCCGAUGGGUUUCGCUAGUAGGUGGGGUAAUGGCUCACCUAGGCGACGAUCCCUAGCGGGUCUGAGAGGAUGACCAGCCACACUGGAACUGAGACACGGUCCAGACUCCUACGGGAGGCAGCAGUGGGGAAUAUUGCCCAAUGGGCGCAAGCCUGAUGCAGCCAUGCCGCGUGUGUGAAGAAGGCCUUCGGGUUGUAAAGCACUUUCAGCGAGGAGGCGGUACUCGAAGAAGAAGCACCGGCUAACUCCGUGCCAGCAGCCGCGGUAAUUG